UACAGAGACUGCAAGCGUUAUUCGGAUUCACUGGGCGUAAAGGGUGCGCAGGCGGCCAAGUGUGUGAGGCGUGAAAGCCCGGGGCUUAACUCCGGAAUCGCACCUCAAACUACAUGGCUAGAGCAUUGGAGAGGGUAGCAGAAUUCACGGUGUAGCAGUGAAAUGCGUAGAUAUCGUGAGGAAUACCAGAGGCGAAGGCGGCUACCUGGACAAUUGCUGACGCUCAGGCACGAAAGCGUGGGGAGCAAAAGGG
rnacentral:rRNA from 1 species